rnacentral:misc_RNA from 1 species
UAUUGGCUCUAUAGUAGUAACAUCACUGUAUAUUCAUGCUUGAAACAUAACAGACCCAUUGCUGCCUUGGUCUUGCAAAAAACAAUGCCAUGAGUGCAGUGUUAACCUACUAUCUUUGGAUUUGCAGACAGCUUAGAAGUCAUAUAUUCUUUUAGAAAUACAGAUUUCAGAUACUCUCACCUAAGGAUGAGUCAUUAUGCAUCAACAUUUUGUUUUCUUUUUGCUCUUAUGGAAGUGAAGAGAAUUAAUUAACACCCAUAAAUAAGAAUUUAUGUGCAUUGACCACAACUGACGCCUGAUGAUAUUAUAUAUGCUUGGCCUAAAUGCAAUUACAGGGAAGUGUUCAUGCAUGAUAUGCCACCAACACCAAAUCAAAACAAAGAUUUUAAGCCACUUUCUGCAGAAGGCUUCCACAUACAGAAAAUAACAAAGCACUGAGCUUCUGAAGGUAUUGCAGUGGCAUAAUGGUCCACUUCAUACGGAAAUAGAAGAGCAAUGCACUCGUAUGCACCUAUAUUUGCAAAUGCAUGAUGCCUAUAUCUUUAAAUUUUCCACUAGCUACUUAUUUUUUCGGCCUCCUUUCCCCUUCCCUGCUUUUCUCUUAGGCUUUUUUUUGCUGCCUUUGUUUUCUGCAUGACAACUGCUGCCUUCGUUUCCAGAAGCAACUGUAGCCUGAGAAUCAUUGAUCUUGCCUUUAUCAGAACUUUCACUAUUCAUAACCUCAUUAUUAACAUUUUCAUCAAAUUUGCUGUCAUCUGAUGCCUCCUUUCCAAGGCUUUCAUCUUGUUGCAACAUUUUCUGAUUGAUGAAAUUCUCCAAUCUUGGCCUUCUUGAUUCCAGCUUGCUAACAAGUUCUUCAAUUCUUGAAAUGUCAUUCUCAAGCUCCGGACCACUCAUAUCUAAUGCAGCAAACAGUUGCUUCAAUUCCUCGAGUAGAAUGGCAGCUUCCCCAUACAAGCUAUCAUUUUCAUUGUCAGGAGCGCCCUUCUGCAAGCAUCCAUUCAGUGCAGCACUUAAAAAGUGGAUUAUCUUCCCUAUAUUUGCCUUAAUUUUUUGAUCAUUUGCCCUUGUACUCUUGUCUUCUCCCUGAUUCAUCGAUUUUAAUGCUCCAAGUAUUUCCCACAGCUCGCCAGGUGGGCAAGGAAGGUUCUCCUCAUUAAGACUGGAUCCUUUGCCAUGAUCAUAUCCAGCUGGAGACGCUACUCCCUUGCAAGGGCUAGUAGUGUCCAAUGCAACAUUUUCUUUGUUAUUUUCAUUGGCUUUACUGGUAUGUGGAAACAAGAUUGUGAACAUAUCUUCUUUGCUUUGGCCAACCAUAUCCAAAAAUAUGGCAUUUGGGCUUGAAUAUUGUGGACAAGAUUUAUCCAAGCUCACAAUUACCAGUGGAUUUCCGAUUUUCUGAAAUGCAUCAGCAAGCACAUUUAAAUCUGCACUUGCAUUCAGAAACUUCCGUUUCUUCCACCUGUUCUGGAGGGCAUUAUAAAACUGCCUUGGAAGCUGAUCAGUGAUAUAAUUCAUACCCAGCAACUCAAAAAGCAAGUCCCUACACAAACCAUAGUUCCAAGAAAGCAAACAUGCUAUAACAACUAGUCUCAAUAUCACAAAUGCAUAGCAGUCCUUUGCAUUUGUGUGACACUUUCUAAUCCACUCCAUCAUAUCCAUCUUAUUAUAAAGAAGCUGCCGAACAAUGUUGGCUAAAAACCCCAGGAUGCCAUUGGCAGAUUGUGGUGCCAGUUCCACCGAACUGGAAGUUUGGCUGGCAUCACAUUCCAGGUAGAUAAGCCAUUCCGUAAAAGAAGAUUUUGUGGUGAGAAAAAACCCGCGAGAGUAAGAUAACAAAAUCAGUUGGCGCUCAACAAGGUA